CGGUUGCCUCCUGAUUGUAGUCUGGAGAGGUGCCAUCGGUCCCCCUCGGCGCCAAAAUCCCUUGGAACGGGGUAUCGGAGAAGGUGAGAAUCCUGUCAUGCGCCGAAGUGGGACCGUACGAUGUGCUCUCGUAGAGUCGGGCUGCUUGGGAGUGCAGCCUGAAGCGGGUGGUAAAUUCCAUCUAAAGCUAAAUACUGGCGGGAGACCGAUAGCGAACAAGUACCGUGAGGGAAAGAUGCAAAGAACUUUGAAAAGAGAGUUAAAGAGUGCUUGAAAUUGGCAGGAGGAAACCCGGUUGCGCGUGGCAUUUGGCGUGGUCGACUCAGCCGCGCGCGGAGACCUGUAGGGGACCUAACGGCCUCGUGGUCAGCGCGCGCGGUGCACUUCGGCCGCGUCGGUCAGCCGCGUUUCUGUGCGGCCCAGACGGCCGUGGGCAGGGCUUCGGCGCAGCCUGCGGUUUGGGGGUCGCGCGGGAUCCCGGCUGAUGCGCACGGGCGCAACCGACCCGUCUAGAAACACGGACCAAGGAGUCUGACGCGUGUGCGAGUACUAGAGUGGCAAGCUCGAGUGCGCAAUGAAAGUGAAGGGCGUGCCCCGUCAACCGAUCUUGAUCUUCUGUGAAGGGUUUGAGUGGAGCACAUCUGUCGGGACCCGAAAGAUGGUGAACUAUGCCUGAGGAGGGUGAAGCCAGAGGAAACUCUGGUGGAGGCUCGUAGCGAUACUGACGUGCAAAUCGUUCGUCGAACUUGGGGUAUAGGGGCGAAAGACUAAUCGAACCAUCUAGUAGCUGGUUCCCUCCGAAGUUUCCCUCAGGAUAGCUUGAACGCCGACGGUUUUGUCAGGUAAAGCGAAUGAUUAGAGGCCUUGGGGCUGAAACAGCCUUAACCUAUUCUCAAACUUUAAAUGGGCAAGAGGCGCCGGAUGCUUGAC
rnacentral:rRNA from 1 species